AAAGAAGCUUAAAAGGAGAAAAAAUGCGUAGUAUUCUAAAUAUAACUUGCUAUUUUCCAGUGCUACUGGCAACAGAGAAUUCAAACACCAGCAUUCGUGUUUACACAGUCCUGUGCCACCUGAGAACACGUUCUGGCAGUUUAGAAAAAAAGGGUCAGGCUGAGCAUUCCUGGGGACACAGGCGAAAUGUCAGAGGCAGAGUUCUGUGGAUAAAUCUGUUUUGUCGUGACGUCUUGGAAACUAGGGAACUCCAGGGCUGCCGGGACCAGUACCGACCUCACAAUGAUAGGAAGACAGCGGGGGGCAGCAGAGCACGACCGAAGCUGGAAUCUGAGAGCUCUGUCUACCACGGCAACCUGUAUGCGGGCUGGUUCCAUGGCAGCUUCGCGAGACUUUAAGCAGGGAGCAGGGACAGCACCGCCAGAACACACGGGCAACAUGUCCAGAGACGCUCAUGCACUGAAUUCUUCUUGACCAACAUCAACAUCAGCAGCUCACUCACCCACUGAAAACCCUGCCUCAGAUCCUCUUCCUGAAAAGAAUCGCUGUUACUCCGUGGCCUUUUACUCUUUAACUUCCCGGCACUGACAGCCUGACGUUCCCCCGGCGGGUGGAAUGAAGUCAUGGAACAAGAUGCUUCUUUUAGACCUACCGCAGAAGAAUCAGACCCUGCUACAGAAAGGGAGCAUCUGCAUUUCUCGGUGGAUGGAUAGAGAAAGAGGCUCUCCCGGAUGCAAAUACCUGCAGCGCAGCCUCCUUCGCCACCGGCUGACCCCUCGGCCAGCUGCGCGCCUCCCCUCCCUCCGAACGGUGGUAGCAGCUGCACCCAGGUUGUCGACUCUUUGCACACAGCUCUUGACCCAUAAUCUUCCAGGUUCAAGGAGAAAACCGGCACUUGAACCUUUCCUCUUCUGCCUCUCCUCCCCUGGCUCACUCCCUUUUCGCCAGAGGUCAGCAGCUGGAGCUUUCAUAUGACUCACAUGAGGGCUCUGCCUGGAGCAGCCUCAUGACUUCAGCAGUUUUUCCUUGUCCGGGAAGGAGCUCUGCCUUAGAAAGACGACUGCUUGUAUGCUACUGAAAACAAGGCAGCUGAUACUGGACAGCAUAAAAGUAGUUAUUAUCCCA